AAUCAGAAGCGGGGAGAUGUUGCAGCUCGUCUGCUGUUUUCCGCUUCAGCAACUGGGUCGGUUCGUGUCAUGGUUCUGGAACUAUAUCUGUGUUCCACCGCCUGAGAUUUUAUAUUAUGAGAGAUCAUCAUCAUCGUCGUCUUCUUCGAUUGUUAAUAGCCAGAACUACUAUCAUCUUCAUUUGGAGUGACUAUGUUUUUCAUUUCAAGUAUUAUUUUGUAUAGGAAAAAAAAAACUACUUGGCUUGAGUUUGGAUAGAUCGGAGUAUGUUUAUCAAUCCUUGUUUAUAGAAAAACAAAGUAGUCAUGAGAUCUUGAGUAUUUGGUGGUGCAUAUAGUUUAGAUCAGUCUUUUGUUGAUAAUGUUUUUGUUAAUUCGUGAAGGGCUAUGUAAUGUUACAUACUUUUAGGCUAGAAACUAGUGUGGAUGAUCAAGUUCUCAAGUAAUGGUUCUUCUUUGUGUAAAGAUCGGUUUUUUGAAGCAGAGUGGUCUCAAGAUAAAGCGAGGUUUUGAGAAGUUUAAUGGAAUCCAGUUCAGGAUUAACGUUAUAUGGCAGCGGUGGCUUGCCACGAGUUUUGGGCCUUCUCCAGUAUGAUACAAUUGUUCUUGACUAGAUGCAGAGCGUACCUUCUCUCAAGAUUUGUGUUAUGUUUCGGUUCUACAUAUACCUUUGUUGGUUGAAUCGGUUUGGUUGUCAUGUGGUUCUUUCUUGUAGCAACAUAAUAGGAUUAGUCUCGUCUUUCCUUCAGCCAAAUGUAAGUUAAACGAAUCUAACUUGGGCCGGUAGCCAAGUCUGCGGAUAGGGUCCAUAUCUUUUCUCUUUAUGAAGUUCAUGAGGUUGUAUUGUUUUUCAAGACUCUAGAGGCUUGAGAGCUCUCUCUACUUAUAAAACCUGAAGUUUUUGGCAACAGCCUC